rnacentral:rRNA from 1 species
CAGAGGUCUCAAGCGUUGUUCGGAUUCAUUGGGCGUAAAGGGUGCGUAGGCGGCGCGGUAAGUCGGGUGUGAAAUCUCGGAGCUUAACUCCGAAACUGCAUUCGAUACUGCCGUGCUUGAGGACUGGAGAGGAGACUGGAAUUUACGGUGUAGCGGUGAAAUGCGUAGAUAUCGUAAGGAAGACCAGUGGCGAAGGCGGGUCUCUGGACAGUUCCUGACGCUGAGGCACGAAGGUCAGGGGAGCAAACGGGAUUAGAUACCCCGGUAGUCCUGACAGUAAACGGUGCACGUUUGGUGUGGGAGGAUUCGACCCCUUCUGCGCCGGAGCUAACGCGUUAAACGUGCCGCCUGGGGAGUACGGUCGCAAGAUU